rnacentral:lncRNA from 1 species
CUGUUUUGGCCAUCAAAGUAAAACAAAUAUUUCUAUAAUCAAACUUCCUGAAUUUAGUUGUAUAACUCUGAAAUAGUUCAUUUGCUGUUGUGGACAUGACCAGUGUGCAUCAGCUUUCUGAUAUACGGAUUUGUGGAGCUUUCCAUCUUCAAUGAAUGUCCAUCUUUUAUAACCUGAUAGGAUAAACUUGAAAACCACGAAGAUGAUGAUGAUCAGAUUUGCACCCCUUUACCUCUCCAGUGCCAACAGAUGACUCAUGAGGCAAUUAAAUUGUAUGGUGGAUACAGUCCUGGACCUUGAGUUAGAAGAGAUCCUAGUUCAGAUCUGACUUCAAACACUUCGGCUAUGUGACCUUUGGUCAGUAACAGAAACUUUCUCUGCCUCAGUUUCUUGAUUUCUAAAAUGGGAUUAAUAAUAUAGCACCUACCUCCCAGGGUUAUUGUGAGGAUCAAAUGAGAUAAUAAUUGUAAAG